GAUGAACGCUGGCGGCGUGCCUAAUACAUGCAAGUCGAGCGAACCGAUUGAGAGCUUGCUCUCAAGAAGUUAGCGGCGGACGGGUGAGUAACACGUGGGUAACCUGCCUAUAAGACUGGGAUAACUCCGGGAAACCGGGGCUAAUACCGGAUAACAUUUUGAACUGCAUGGUUCGAAAUUGAAAGGCGGCUUCGGCUGUCACUUAUAGAUGGACCCGCGGCGCAUUAGCUAGUUGGUGAGGUAACGGCUCACCAAGGCGACGAUGCGUAGCCGACCUGAGAGGGUGAUCGGCCACACUGGGACUGAGACACGGCCCAGACUCCUACGGGAGGCAGCAGUAGGGAAUCUUCUGCAAUGGACGAAAGUCUGAUGGAGCAACGCCGCGUGAGCGAUGAAGGCCUUCGGGUCGUAAAGCUCUGUUGUUAGGGAAGAACAAGUACAAGUUGAAUAAGCUUGUACCUUGACGGUACCUAACCAGAAAGCCACAGCUAACUACGUGCCAGCCGCCGCUGUAAUAC
rnacentral:rRNA from 1 species